UUAUAGUUAAUUUGGAUGUGUUGAAUGAUAAUUUAAUAUGAAACUUAAUGUUAAAAUGUAUGAUAAAUAUUUUUUUAUGCAAAAAAAUCGAAGAUUCGGGGCGGGUAUGGGAGAUAGUCCCCCGACGGGGACGGCGACGGGGAUUCCCCGAAAACUAAUAAAUGGGGAUGGGUUCGAGGACGGGGGCGGGGAUGGAGAGCGGGGAUGGGGAUGGUAUUGUCAUACCCUGCCCCUACCCGACCCGUUGCCAUCCGUAGUUUCAGUUUGUGACGUUUAGCACAACAUAUACAGUAUUGGACUACAUCUAGACAUGAUUUUUGUUCUCUUACAUGUUAGCAAUUGAAUUAUCUUGCG
rnacentral:lncRNA from 1 species